AGAUCUACAGGAGCAGGGAAUCACUCUCCAUAAGCUGUUUUGACUCCGGGACCUGUUAUCUUUAUAAAGGCCUCAUUACUUCAUCUGUUUUCACGGAGCAUCUGCUCUGAGCUACAGUUCUGUGUGGAAGAGAGUUCUACUAGACAGGGCUUGUUUUGUGAUUUAUGAUCUGGCUCUUUCGUUGGGGUUUGAGUUUUUGGUUUUUACUUUUGCAUGAAUGAGGAAGAUCACAACACCAACUGUAUGUAAGAAACUCCAGGAAAGAGGAAAAAACCCAUCUGCUGUCCAUGUCCAUGAAGGAACAUUCAAGAACUACUGGCCAGAACCUCCAUCAUGAAAGAUUUGGGUCAGGAAAAGUUUUCUAAAGGGAAGGAGAGCAGAGCAAGUGAGCAGACUGCCAGGGUCUGAGGAUCCUGUAUCACAGGAGAGCUUUAUGGACAGAUACACAAUAUGCAGGGUACUUCUAAGUUCCCCUGUCUCAGAACUGGAAGAUGAUAUCAGCCUCUUGAUGUUCACACCAGCAUUGCUCAUUUCCUAAAUCUAUCCCUGCUCCUGCCUUGCAAUACAGCUCUGCCUUUCCCAGAGUCCCACCGCAGUCUCCUUCACUGUUGCCCUUUUUCCUGCCAGCCUGCCUGGUCCCAGGCUCCCGGGAGGCUGUAACACAUGCUGAAAGGAGCAAGCAGCUCAGUGGAGGAGGUCAGUGGGUGAUGAAGGCUCCAGUACCACCAUCUGCAUUACAUGUGCUGCUGUGCCACAGGCUUUGGCCAGAGUCCUGCCCAUGCUUGUUCCAGGAGGAGACGGCGCAAUUUGGUGAUUGACUCCUGGAGUCUGGUUGGUGCAUCCAUGCUGGGGUAUAGAGGCCACAGAUCCCGUGGGGCUUCCCAGAACUCUCUGCCAGCCUCAGCCACCUGCAGCUCAAGGGCUCCAGAAGCAGAAACAGGGUCUCGAAUUCCAUUAAUCACAGCCCCAAGCCCUGAUUUCUGAGGCAAAACAGAGCUACAGCAGCUGAGACUACAGUGAGAUCUUGUGAGAAGGAUGGUGCAAAUGCUCCAGACCGUCAGCAAGGUUAGGACCACCUGGCUGUGUCAUACCUUGGAGACUGGGGACAGCUGCUAAAGAUCUGAAAAAAAGAAGAAGUUAUAUAAGGUCAGCAGACCUGGCCUCUUCCAGGAAGAUCUACCUCGAGUGUCUGCCCACCUGAGGGGCUGAGUAAUGCUGUGGAAUGCUGAUGUAGGCAGAUGAAUCACUGCUGGUGAGAAGUCACUGCUCUAUCCAAGACCACAAAUAGCAUCAUGUUCUUGAGAUCCUCCUUUUCAUUUCCUUCCUGCAGAUUCCUGGGGUGAGCAGGAAGGGAUUAGGCUGCCUGACCUCCUGUACCUACAGUCAUGAAAAUUUCACCCCCUUACUCUGAAAUCAGUAACUUGUCUUACUAAGAUAACUUCAGACAGGCAUUUGGCUGGGCUUGAAGACACCAAAAGAUGGCAAAUGCAAGACAUCCUCUCCUGGCAAUCAGUCCCUCCACAUUAUUCUCACUGUUUUGUUUUUUCUCUCAUGAUUGCUAUGCCAACAGGGCUAAUGAAGCUUUCUAUGCAGCAGCAAUAUGGUCUCAGUUUUGUUUACCUUGGAUUUUAUCCUUUAUCUUAGAAUACUCCUUUCUUUUUGGCCACAGACUUAAGGUUAACCAUAGAAGGAAG
ensembl:lncRNA